UACGAAGGGGGCUAGCGUUGCUCGGAAUCACUGGGCGUAAAGGGUGCGUAGGCGGGUCUUUAAGUCAGAGGUGAAAUCCUGGAGCUCAACUCCAGAACUGCCUUUGAUACUGAGGGUCUUGAGUUAUGACAGAGGUGAGUGGAACUGCGAGUGUAAGAGGUGAAAUUCGUAGAUAAUUCGCCAAGAACACCAGUGGCGAAGGCGGCUCCACUGGCCCGAUACUGACGCUGAGGCACGAAAGCGUGGGGAGCAA
rnacentral:rRNA from 1 species